GAUGAACGCUGGCGGCGUGCCUAAUACAUGCAAGUCGAGCGAAUGGAUUAAGAGCUUGCUCUUAUGAAGUUAGCGGCGGACGGGUGAGUAACACGUGGGUAACCUGCCCAUAAGACUGGGAUAACUCCGGGAAACCGGGGCUGAUACCGGCUAACAUUUUGAACCGCAUGGUUCGAAAUUGAAAGGCAGCUUCGGCUCUCACUUAUGGAUGGACCCGCGUCGCAUUAGCUAGUUGGUGAGGUAACGGCUCACCAAGGCAACGAUGCGUAGCCGACCUGAGAGGGUGAUCGGCCACACGGGGAGCGAGACACGGCCCAGACUCCUACGGGAGGCAGCAGUAGGGAAGCUUCCGCAAUGGACGAAAGUCUGACGGAGCAACGCCGCGUGAGUGAUGGAGGCUUUCGGGUCGUAAAACUCUGUUGUUAGGGAAGAACAAGUGCUAGUUGAAUAAGCUGGCACCUUGACGGUACCUAACCAGAAAGCCACGGCUAACUACGUGCCAGCAGCCGCCGUAA
rnacentral:rRNA from 1 species